rnacentral:rRNA from 1 species
GCAAGUUCGAGCGGGUAGAGAGAAGCUUGCUUCUCUUGAGAGCGGCGGACGGGUGAGUAAUGCCUAGGAAUCUGCCUGGUAGUGGGGGAUAACGUUCGGAAACGGACGCUAAUACCGCAUACGUCCUACGGGAGAAAGCAGGGGACCUUCGGGCCUUGCGCUAUCAGAUGAGCCUAGGUCGGAUUAGCUAGUUGGUGAGGUAAUGGCUCACCAAGGCGACGAUCCGUAACUGGUCUGAGAGGAUGAUCAGUCACACUGGAACUGAGAUACGGCCCAGACUCCUACGGGAGGCAGCAGUGGGGAAUAUUGCACAAUGGGCGCAAGCCUGAUGCAGCGACGCCGCGUGGGGGAUGACGGCCUUCGGGUUGUAAAGCACUUUCAGUCGUGAGGAAGGCGGUGUAGUUAAUAGCUGCAUCGUUUGACGUUAGCGACAGAAGAAGCACCGGCUAACUCCGUGCCAGCAGCCGCGGUAAU